GACGAACGCUGGCGGCGUGCUUAACACAUGCAAGUCGAACGGGCCUUGUCCCCUUUUUUUUGGGGGUGGGGUUAGUGGCGAACGGGUGAGUAACACGUGAGUAACCUGCCCCUCACUUCUGGAUAACCGCUUGAAAGGGUGGCUAAUACGGGGUGUUCUGGCCUGCUCGCAUGGGUGGGUUUGGAAAGAUUCGACCGGUUUUGGUUGUUUUGGUGGGGGAUGGGCUCGCGGCCUAUCAGCUUGUUGGUGGGGUGAUGGCCUGCCAAGGCUUUGACGGGUAGCCGGCCUGAGAGGGUGGGCGGUCACACUGGGACUGAGACACGGCGCAGACUCCUACGGGAGGCAGCAGUGGGGAAUAUUGCACAAUGGGCGCAAGCCUGAUGCAGCGACGCCGCGUGAGGGAUGGAGGCCUUCGGGUUGUGAACCUCUUUCGCCAGUGAAGAAGGUCCUGCUCUUUGUGGUGGGGUUGACGGUAGCUGGGUUAAUGAAGCGCCGGCUAACUACGUG
rnacentral:rRNA from 1 species